UAAGUUUCCCCACUCCUUAGGCAACUCUAGACCAGGAAGAAUUUCUGUGAAAACUAAAUCUGACCCGUAAAAAAUGGGAAUUCAUCGCAUUAUCUCAACUUUGGUAUAUGUCCUCCUCCUCACAAACCUUGUGGCCUUGGUCAUCUCUCCAAUUAAAACGACAGCCGCCCAGGCAUCUAGCAAACCCUGUCUUGGUGCCAUACUCGGCUUACCAGUUCCCUUUACUAGAUGUCAAGUGACAUGUGCCGCGUCGCUUCCGUCACUUCCGGUACUUCCGUCCUUUCCGGGGGGUACCUGUGAUGCCGGCUUGCAGUGCUGUGUCGUUACGCCGAUAAGUAACGCCCCCGUCGCCGCCAAGUCAGCUGAGAAGACACCGGAAUAAAUGCUAGUUUCUUAAAUUACGCGAGAUUCAGGAACGCAUUUUUGGUAGCAAUUGUGCCAACGUUUUGUUAAAUAUGACAAUAAAUUAUUAAAUCAUUA